rnacentral:lncRNA from 1 species
UGUGUUGUUUAAAUAGUGAUCAAUGAUUCAGUGGGGAGUGGGUUUACUCUUCAAUCUAAAACUAUAAUCAUUUCAGUUGGAUUGUUAGAUAGGUGACAAGUAAAGACUUGCAGAUAGACCUCGGUAAAGUUAUUUGUCAUGUACAUGAAUUUUCUUUGGUAAAGUUAUUUGUCAUGUACUAGUGUCAUUUCAAAUUAAAUAGGUAAC